AACGGACGCUGGCGGCAUGCCUAACACAUGCAAGUCGAACGAGGCCUUCGGGUCUAGUGGCGCACGGGUGCGUAACGCGUGGGAACCUGCCCUUAGGUUCGGAAUAACUCCCCGAAAGGGGUGCUAAUACCGGAUAAUGUCUUCGGACCAAAGAUUUAUCGCCUUUGGAUGGGCCCGCGUUGGAUUAGCUAGUUGGUAGGGUAAAAGCCUACCAAGGCGACGAUCCAUAGCUGGUCUGAGAGGAUGAUCAGCCACACUGGGACUGAGACACGGCCCAGACUCCUACGGAAGGCAGCAGUGGGGAAUAUUGGACAAUGGGCGAAAGCCUGAUCCAGCAAUGCCGCGUGAGUGAUGAAGGCCUUAGGGUUGUAAAGCUCUUUUACCCGGGAUGAUAAUGACAGUACCGGGAGAAUAAGCUCCGGCUAACUCCGUG
rnacentral:rRNA from 1 species